UGAGGAAUAUUGGUCAAUGGACGAGAGUCUGAACCAGCCAAGUAGCGUGAAGGAUGACUGCCCUAUGGGUUGUAAAACUUCUUUUAUAUGGGAAUAAAAUGUUCCACGUGUGGGAUUUUGUUAUGUACCAUAUGAAUAAGGAUCGGCUAACUCCGUGCC
rnacentral:rRNA from 1 species